rnacentral:rRNA from 1 species
GGGGGUAAAAACCAAAUGGGAUUCUUCAAGUAAUGGCGAAUGAACCUAGAUAUGCUCAAUUUGAAAAAUACAGUGAUACUGUUUGACAUGUAAUUUCAAAAUGUACAACCAAUUGGCAUGCAAGUGGAAGCUCAUUGAAAGAAUGCGUCGAAGAAGGUGAAAAUCCAUUUUGCCACUUGUAAUGUUGUUGUUUAUGGUGUAUAUUUCAGGAGUCACAUUCCUUGGCAUUGGAAUGCAAUGUGGGUGGUAAACUUCAUGCAAAGAUUAAUAUGUGUUUGAGAUUGAUAGUACACAAAUACCGUGAGGGAAAUAUGAAAAGGACUUUGAAAAGAGAUUUAAAAGAGUUUGCAGUUGCUGAACAAAAAACAAAUAGGAUGUCGACGAUUGAGCAGAUUGUUGAACCUCGGUUUGCUUCAAUUGCUAGCAUGUGUGUAUUCAAUGAUUCUAUCUUUGUCUACCAUACCAUUCUCAGCGUAUCAUGACACUUGCAGGUUUCGUGUUUUUGCUUGCGGGCUAAUGACAACACCUGCUUGAGAAUGGUAUGCCAAGUGUUCAUUGUGCUUAGAGUCUGCAUACUGCUUAUGUUAAGUUGCAAUUCUGAACUUGUGCUUUGAGCUGUGCUUUACCUUCUGCAUAUGUCUAUUGGUGAUCAUAUCCUGCUUGACCCGUCUUGAAACACGGACCAAGGAGUCUAAUAGAUGUGCAAGCUUUGAAACUGCUAUUUUGUUUAAACCAAUGAAAUUAAGAGCUGGGAUUUUUGCACCAGCAACCAAUUGAUUGGUGGGUAAAGCCUUGAGUUGGAGCAUAUUUAUUAGGACCCGAAAGAUGGUGAACUAUGCCUGAAGAGAAUGAAUUCAGAGGAAACUCUGACGGAAGUCGCAUCAAUACUGACGUGCAAAUCGUUUGUCAUACUUGGGUAUAGGGGCGAAAGACUAAUCGAACCAUCUAAUAACUGGUUCCCUCCG